ACGCAUCGUACCGUCGAGUCUCGCGUCGCUUUUUCUGCGUGAAGUUGGCCGCGUAUGGAAAACGACGCUUCCCUAUUUCGAUUGCAUUCACGUUUCAUUCGUGGAAUGCGGCGGAUAGGAGAUGACACGGCGGAACCAACGGCUCUCAAACGAGUAGCAGCGCGAUCAAAUAUGAUACCGGCAUUCAACGUAUUAAUUAAUUCUCAUAACGUGAUUUGCAGUGUAUUGUUCGAUGCAUGCAACGUUCUAUAUUAGAUAACUGAGAAUGGCAGUUACUAUUGAUUCUGUGAUAUAUCUCUGUUUUGUGGCGAUUCUUUGGGGAGUAACCAAUCCAUUUAUAAAGAAAGGUGCGCAAGGUUUAGAGGCUAUCAGGGCCAAGUCAGUUUAUGGACAAUUUUUUAAGGAGCAGUUAUUUCUCAUUACUAAUCUGAAGUACAUUGUGCCAUUUCUCCUUAAUCAAUGCGGUUCGGUACUGUACUUCUUGACUCUGCAGAGUAGCGACCUAUCCCUGGCUGUACCAGUUUCAAAUUCUCUUACCUUCGUAUUUACUGCGAUCACAGGCUGGUUCCUAGGCGAAGAAAAAGUGCAUAGAAAUACUUAUCUGGGAAUGAUACUUGUGCUGUGCGGAACCAUGUUAUGUUGUUGGGACAAACUGAAUAAAACUGUGGAAUUAUGAUUUGUUACACUUAAGACGAUGAUCAUUAAGCACGCAUAGUUACCCUUCCUUUUCCUGUUCAUCCAUACUACCUGCCGAUUAAUCCACAUCCAUCCUGUGUAAUGUUUCCAAUUAAAAUACGUCGAGCUGCAAGUUCGGUAAUUGAUAGUCAACGAAAAGAAUUCAUUUUCGAUGGAUUUCACGGGUGAACAUAGUUGGUGAGUAUUACAAUUAUUACAUAUCAUAAAUGCAUUUUAGUCUUGGUCUUCACGCUCGUAGCUUUCUAAUUCUUGACAGAUUUGAACGAUAAGAUAGUGAAAUUUUUAUAUUGAUGAUUAAUAUUUCCAGAAAUUAAGAAAGUAAUAUUUCUAGUGAAUGGAUUCACCUGACAAGUAAUCUAAUUUACGUUUUUUUUUUCAUUUUUU